CAGAAAAUCUCAUUGAUAAAACACUGAAAGUUGUGAUUACAGCGUAGAAAAAAAAAAAAAAAGGAAAAAAGUUCAAUUUGUGCUCAUACCGCGUUUCCUGUUGCCGUUCUGCUGCCGGCACCAACCUCCGCUUCUGUUCGUGCUACAGAAUACUUCUUUCACGUCGCCAAACUGAACCAGCUGCUGGUGCUGAGUCAGCAGCUGGAGGAGGACAUCAGGCACCUGGGUAGUCAUAAAUACAUAGCCCACCAGCUCUCAGUUAUAUAUCAAGUCAUCAGCUCUUUCAAGGGAAUCCAGGUCUUUUCAGAAAUAAAGAAGGACAUUGAGACCAACUUCAAACAGAUGAAGCAGUCUCUGGUGGCGGAGGAAGGCUGCAGGCAUGAGCCUCAGCUGACAGCUCAUUACAUCAGCUGGAUAUUGGAAAUAACGAAAGGCCUGACGUCGCUGGUUCUGUCGCUGCCAGAGGAGCUGACAGAGGACCUUCAUCAGGCCUUCACCUUUGUGUCUCAGUUCUUGUCCUAGAAGCAGAGUCACCCCCGCAAGCAUCCCGGUAACUCCAGUAAGGAUCCGGCUACUAACUGAACCGAACCACGACUGACUUUUAAAAAAGGUGCUAUUCCGUUUGAUUCAACUCAACAACUGGACAGCCUAGCUUACUUGGAGAUUUUUUGUUAUUUUGUCGUUCUCGUGUUGGGGACUGAAUGACAAGCUUGAUGAAGCCACCCUUGCACUACUGUAAUUACCAACUUAAUUUUUUUUUUUAAAUACCAUGGAAGAAUAAAAUUAAUUAAAAUGAA